GGGAUAUAGUGGCGAACGGGUGAGUAACACGUGGGCAAUCUGCCCUUCACUCUGGGACAAGCCCUGGAAACGGGGUCUAAUACCGGAUACUGACCCUCGCAGGCAUCUGCGAGGUUCGAAAGCUCCGGCGGUGAAGGAUGAGCCCGCGGCCUAUCAGCUUGUUGGUGAGGUAAUGGCUCACCAAGGCGACGACGGGUAGCCGGCCUGAGAGGGCGACCGGCCACACUGGGACUGAGACACGGCCCAGACUCCUACGGGAGGCAGCAGUGGGGAAUAUUGCACAAUGGGCGAAAGCCUGAUGCAGCGACGCCGCGUGAGGGAUGACGGCCUUCGGGUUGUAAACCUCUUUCAGCAGGGAAGAAGCGAAAGUGACGGUACCUGCAGAAGAAGCGCCGGCUAACUACGUGCCAGCAGCCGCGGUAAUACGUAGGGCGCAAGCGUUGUCCGGAAUUAUUGGGCGUAAAGAGCUCGUAGGCGGCUUGUCACGUCGGUUGUGAAAGCCCGGGGCUUAACCCCGGGUCUGCAGUCGAUACGGGCAGGCUAGAGUUCGGUAGGGGAGAUCGGAAUUCCUGGUGUAGCGGUGAAAUGCGCAGAUAUCAGGAGGAACACCGGUGGCGAAGGCGGAUCUCUGGGCCGAUACUGACGCUGAGGAGCGAAAGCGUGGGGAGCGAACAGGAUUAGAUACC
rnacentral:rRNA from 1 species